rnacentral:rRNA from 1 species
GACAGAGGUCUCGAGCGUUAGGCGGAAUCACUGGGCUUAAAGCGUGUGUAGGCGGACUUCUAAGUACCUUGUGAAAUCCCACGGCUUAACCGUGGAACUGCUGGGUAUACUGGUUGUCUUGGGCCAUCUAGGGGCUACUGGAACAAACGGUGGAGCGGUGAAAUGCGUAGAUAUCAGGAGGAACACCGGUGGCGAAGGCGGGUCUCUGGGCCGUAACUGACGCUGAGGAGCGAAAGCGUGGGGAGCGAACAGG